rnacentral:rRNA from 1 species
UUGAACGCUGGCGGCAUGCCUAACACAUGCAAGUCGCACGCGAAAGAGGGGCAACCCUUGAGUAGAGUGGCGGACGGGUGAGUAACGCGUAGGAAUCUACCUGGUAGUGGGGGACAACCCGGUGAAAACCGGGCUAAUACCGCAUACGAUCCACGGAUGAAAGCAGGGGACCGCAAGGCCUUGCGCUAUCAGAUGAGCCUGCGUCGGAUUAGCUAGUUGGUGAGGUAAUGGCUCACCAAGGCAACGAUCCGUAACUGGUUUGAGAGAACGACCAGUCACACUGGGACUGAGACACGGCCCAGACUCCUACGGGAGGCAGCAGUGGGGAAUAUUGGACAAUGGGGGCAACCCUGAUCCAGCAAUGCCGCGUGUGUGAAGAAGGCCUUCGGGUUGUAAAGCACUUUCGGUGGGGAAAAACGUGGCGAGGCCAAUACCCUCGUCCUUGAUGGUACCCAAAGAAGAAGCACCGGCUAACUCUGU